rnacentral:rRNA from 1 species
GGGCAUCCCGGAGGCAGGAAAGGCUUCGGCCGGACAGGGAUGGGCAUGCGGCGCAUUAGGCAGUAGGCGGGGUAACGGCCCACCUAACCGACGAUGCGUAGGGGUUCUGAGAGGAAGGUCCCCCACACUGGUACUGAGACACGGACCAGACUCCUACGGGAGGCAGCAGUGAGGAAUAUUGGUCAAUGGUCGGGAGACUGAACCAGCCAAGCCGCGUGAGGGAUGAAGGUACAGAGUAUCGUAAACCUCUUUUGUCAGGGAACAAAGGCGGGGACGUGUCCCCGGAUGAGUGUACCUGAAGAAAAAGCAUCGGCUAACUCCGUGCCAGCAGCCGCGGUAAUACGGAGGAUGCGAGCGUUAUCCGGAUUUAUUGGGUUUAAAGGGUGCGCAGGCGGUCUGUUAAGUCAGCGGUCAAAGCCCGGGGCUCAACCCCGGCCCGCCGUUGAAACUGGCAGUCUCGAGUUGGAGAGAAGUAUGCGGAAUGCGCGGUGUAGCGGUGAAAUGCAUAGAUAUCGCGCAGAACUCCGAUUGCGAAGGCAGCAUGCCGGCUCCACACUGACGCUGAGGCACGAAAGCGUGGGUACCGAACAGGAUUAGAUACCCUGGUAGUCCACGCAGUAAACGAUGAAUGCUGGCUGUCCGGGGGGAUUGACCCCUGGGUGGCGAAG